rnacentral:rRNA from 1 species
GACGAACGCUGGCGGCGUGCCUAAUACAUGCAAGUCGAGCGGACUAACGGGAGCUUGCUCCCGUUAGUUAGCGGCGGACGGGUGAGUAACACGUGGGCAACCUACCUGUAAGACUGGGAUAACUUCGGGAAACCGGAGCUAAUACCGGAUGACAUAAAGGAACUCCUGUUCCUUUAUUGAAAGAUGGCCUCGGCUAUCACUUACAGAUGGGCCCGCGGCGCAUUAGCUAGUUGGUGAGGUAACGGCUCACCAAGGCGACGAUGCGUGGCCGACCUGAGAGGGUGAUCGGCCACACUGGGACUGAGACACGGCCCAGACUCCUACGGGAGGCAGCAGUAGGGAAUCUUCCGCAAUGGACGAAAGUCUGACGGAGCAACGCCGCGUGAGCGACGAAGGCCUUCGGGUCGUAAAGCUCUGUUGUUAGGGAAGAAUAAGUGCUAGUUGAAUAAGCUGGCACCUUGACGGUACCUAACCAGAAAGCCACGGCUAACUACGUGCCAGCCGCCGCGGUAAUAC